rnacentral:rRNA from 1 species
CAGCAGCCGCGGUAACACGAAGGGGGCUAGCGUUGUUCGGAUUUACUGGGCGUAAAGGGCGCGUAGGCGGACUGAUAAGUCAGGGGUGAAAUCCCAAGGCUCAACCUUGGAACUGCCUUUGAUACUGUUUGUCUUGAGUUCGAGAGAGGUAAGUGGAACUGUGAGUGUAGAGGUGAAAUUCGUAGAUAUUCGCAAGAACACCAGUGGCGAAGGCGGCUUACUGGCUCGAAACUGACGCUGAGGCGCGAAAGCGUGGGGAGCAAACAGGAUUAGAUACCCGCGUAGUCCCUGUCUCUUAUAA